rnacentral:rRNA from 1 species
GACGAACGCUGGCGGCGUGCCUAAUACAUGCAAGUAGAAUGUUUCGAACGAGUGAGUAACGCGUAGUUAACUGCCUCAUAGCGGGGGAUAACUAUUGGAACCGCUAGCUAAUACCGCAUACUGUGAGAUGGACCUGCGUUGUAUUAGGUAGUUGGUGAGGUAAAGGCUCACCAAGGAGACGAUACAUAGCCGAGCGGAGAGGGUGAUCGUCAACAGAGGUAGUGGAAGACGGCCCUGAGUCAUAAGGGAGGGAGCAAGAGGGAAUCGUAGGAGAUGGACGGCAGUCUGAACGAGAAAAGCGGCGAGAAUGAAGAAGGUUAUCGGAUCGUAAAGCUCUGUUGUUAGAGAAGCGGUAACUAACCUGAAAGGGACGGCUAACUAAGUGCCAGCAGACGCGGUAAGAA